rnacentral:rRNA from 1 species
AUUGAACGCUGGCGGCAGGCCUAACACAUGCAAGUCGAACGGUAGCACAGAGAGCUUGCUCUCGGGUGACGAGUGGCGGACGGGUGAGUAAUGUCUGGGAAACUGCCCGAUGGAGGGGGAUAACUACUGGAAACGGUAGCUAAUACCGCAUAACGUCGCAAGACCAAAGUGGGGGACCUUCGGGCCUCACACCAUCGGAUGUGCCCAGAUGGGAUUAGCUAGUAGGUGGGGUAAUGGCUCACCUAGGCGACGAUCCCUCGCUGGUCUGAGAGGAUGGACAGCCACACUGGAACUGGAGAACGGUCCAGACUCCUACGGGAGGCAGCAGUGGGGAAUAUUGCACAAUGGGCGCAAGCCUGAUGCAGCCAUGCCGCGUGUAUGAAGAAGGCCUUCGGGUUGUAAAGUACUUUCAGCGGGGAGGAAGGCGGUGAAGUUAAUAGCUUCACCGAUUGACGUUACCCGCAGAAGAAGCACCGGCUAACUCCGUGCCAGCAGCCGCAGUAA